rnacentral:rRNA from 1 species
AGAGUUUGAUCCUGGCUCAGAAUCAACGCUGGCGGCGUGCCUAACACAUGCAAGUCGAACGAGAAAGUGGAGCAAUAUCUUGAAGUUGGAGUGGCGCAAGGGUGCGUAACACGUGGGUAAUUUGCCGCGAAGUUGGGGAUAACUCGCUGAAAGGCGAGCUAAUACCGAAUGUGAAAAUUGGGAGGCAUCUUCCGAUUUUUAAAGUUGGGGACCGUAAGGCCUGACGCUCCACGAUAAGCCCGCGGCCUAUCAGCUAGUUGGUGAGGUAACGGCUCACCAAGGCUAAGACGGGUAGCUGGUCUGAGAGGACGACCAGUCCCACUGGAACUGAGACACGGUCCAGACACCUACGGGUGGCAGCAGUCGAGAAUUUUUCUCAAUGGGCGAAAGCCUGAAGGAGCGACGCCGCGUGGGGGAUGAAGGGCUUCGGCUCG